AUGCUGAAAACAUGAAGAGAUAUAUAAUUCAAUGUCAAAUGACCAUAUCUAUUGAUUAAAUUAUCAGGGCUGCAUUCAGCAAACAUUAGAGAUAUCAUUUUAUCUUUAUUAUUUACCAAAUGUUAAAAAAGAAUAAAAUCUAUGCUUAUAUCAUUUUCCUUUCUUUUCUGAUCUUUACAAUGAAAUCAUUACUUAUGAUCAUAAAUUGCAUCAUCUUUCAACCUAACCUAGGUUGCUUUUAGAAACAUUGUCUAGGUACACCUAAUCAUUGUAUCCUCCUUUUAAAGAGGAGACACACUCACCUGCGGCUGAAUUCUCCCAUUUUCCGUGACGUACCAAUGCUUGGUCGCCGAGAUCUCGAGUAUCACCGCGAGCACCGUGACGAUCUUGUAGGACACAUUGCUCCGGAUCAUUUUCCACGACAUAACCCCAUACGACGAGCUUCACCGUUUCUGCAGGAAAAAGCCGACAGCAUGGACCAUGGUUAUGAAAACGUGCACAUUUUUCUACACGUGCAAA